UAGGGAAUCUUCCGCAAUGGACGCAAGUCUGACGGAGCAACGCCGCGUGAGUGAAGAAGGAUUUCGGUUCGUAAAACUCUGUUGUUAGAGAAGAACAGCGCAUAGAGUAACUGUUAUGCGUGUGACGGUAUCUAACCAGAAAGCCACGGCUAACUACGUGCCAGCAGCCGCGGUAAUACGUAGGUGGCAAGCGUUGUCCGGAUUUAUUGGGCGUAAAGCGAGCGCAGGCGGUCAAUUAAGUCUGAUGUGAAAGCCCCCGGCUCAACCGGGAGGGUCAUUGGAAACUGGUUGACUUGAGUGCAGAAGAGGAGAGUGGAAUUCCAUGUGUAGCGGUGAAAUGCGUAGAUAUAUGGAGGAACACCAGUGGCGAAGGCGACUCUCUGGUCUGUAACUGACGCUGAGGCUCGAAAGCGUGGGUAGCAAACAGG
rnacentral:rRNA from 1 species